GGCCUUGACAUACUAAGAACUUUCCAGAGAUGGAUUGGUGCCUUCGGGAACUUAGAUACAGGGUGCUGCAUGGCUGUCGUCAGCUCGUGUCGUGAGAUGUUGGGUUAAGUCCCGNAACGAGCGCAACCUUUUCCUAUUUGCCAGCGGGUCAUGCCGGGAACUUUAAGGAUACUGCCAGUGACAAACUGGAGGAAGGCGGGGACGACGUCAAGUCAUCAUGGCCCUUACGGCCAGGGCUACACACGUGCUACAAUGGUCGGUACAAAGGGUUGCUACCUCGCGAGAGGAUGCUAAUCUCAAAAAGCCGAUCGUAGUCCGGAUCGCAGUCUGCAACUCGACUGCGUGAAGUCGGAAUCGCUAGUAAUCGCGGAUCAGAAUGCCGCGGUGAAUACGUUCCCGGGCCUUGUACACACCGCCCGUCACACCAUGGGAGUUUGUUGCACCAGAAGUAGGUAGUCUAACCGCAAGGAGGACGCUUACCACGGUGUGGCCGAUGACUGGGGUGAAGUCGUAACAAGGUAAGCGUAGAUGA
rnacentral:rRNA from 1 species